rnacentral:rRNA from 1 species
UACGUAGGGCGCAAGCGUUGUCCGGAAUUAUUGGGCGUAAAGAGCUCGUAGGCGGUCUGUCGCGUCGGCUGUGAAAACCCGAGGCUCAACCUCGGGCCUGCAGUCGAUACGGGCAGACUAGAGUGCUGUAGGGGAGACUGGAAUUCCUGGUGUAGCGGUGAAAUGCGCAGAUAUCAGGAGGAACACCGGUGGCGAAGGCGGGUCUCUGGGCAGUAACUGACGCUGAGGAGCGAAAGCGUGGGGGAGCGAACAGG